CGGGCUGUGGCGCAGCUUGGUAGCGCACUUGCUUUGGGAGCAAGGGGUCGUCGGUUCGAAUCCGGCCAGCCCGACCA
rnacentral:tRNA from 1 species